UACCCCACUAUGCUUAGCCUUAAACCUAGAUAUACAUAUCCGCCCGGGUACUACGAGCCUAGCUUAAAACCCAAAGGACUUGGCGGUGCCUCAGAUCCACCUAGAGGAGCCUGUUCUAGAACCGAUAACCCCCGUUAAACCUUACCAUCCCUUGUUUACCCCGCCUAUAUACCGCCGUCGUCAGCUUACCCUGUAAAGGAACAACAGUAAGCAAAGUGGGCAGACCCCAAAACGUCAGGUCGAGGUGUAGCGUACGAGAUGGAAAGAAAUGGGCUACAUUUUCUAUCACAGAACACCACGAAUAGUGUUAUGAAAUAAACACUUGAAGGCGGAUUUAGCAGUAAAAAGCAAGCAGAGUGUACUUUUGAAUUAGGCUCUGAGGCGCGCACACACCGCC
rnacentral:rRNA from 1 species